rnacentral:tRNA from 1 species
GGAUAUAGCUCAGUUGGUAGUGUUCUUGCCUCACAUGCAAUAGGCCCUGGGUUGAUCCCCAGUACCA